rnacentral:rRNA from 1 species
UGCUCCAUGUAAUAUUAAUAGCCGCAGAUUUCUGUGCUAAGGUAGCAUAAUCACUUGUUCACUAAUUAUGAAAUAGAAUGAAUGGAAUCACGAAUUUUAAACUUUCCCAACUAAACCUAUUAAACCUAUACCCAAAGUAAAAAUACUUUCCUUUACCAAUAGACGACAAGACCCUAAUGAACUAUUCACUUAUGUUUUACUGGGGCGGUCAAUUAACAAAAUCUUAUUAUUCUCUUCCUAACCUACCCAUGUAUUUUUAUUUCAAAGUUACCAUAGGGAUAACAGCAUAAUUUUAAUUUAAAGCUCUUAUUAAAACUAAAGAUUAUGACCUCGAUGUUGAAUAGAAACUCUUUACUCUAUUUAUCCCAUCAUUUUAAGCAAAAUUAUAAAAAGAAAGUCUGUUCGACUUUUAAAAUUCUACA